rnacentral:rRNA from 1 species
GACGAACGCUGGCGGCGUGCCUAAUACAUGCAAGUCGAGCGGAACUGGGGGAGCUUGCUCCUUCCAGUUUAGCGGCGGACGGGUGAGUAACACGUGGGCAACCUGCCCUGCAGAUCGGGAUAACUCCGGGAAACCGGUGCUAAUACCGAAUAGUUUGGCGCCUCUCCUGAGGCGCUACGGAAAGACGGUUUCGGCUGUCACUGCAGGAUGGGCCCGCGGCGCAUUAGCUAGUUGGUGGGGUAACGGCCCACCAAGGCGGCGAUGCGUAGCCGGCCUGAGAGGGUGACCGGCCACACUGGGACUGAGACACGGCCCAGACUCCUACGGGAGGCAGCAGUAGGGAAUCUUCCGCAGUGGACGCAAGUCUGACGGAGCAACGCCGCGUGAGUGACGAAGGUUUUCGGAUCGUAAAACUCUGUUGUGAGGGAAGAACACGUACCAACUAACUAUUGGUACCUUGACGGUACCUCACCAGAAAGCCACGGCUAACUACGUGCCAGCCGCCGCUGUAA